rnacentral:rRNA from 1 species
AUUGAACGCUGGCGGCAGGCCUAACCCAUGCAAGUCGAACGAGUGGCGGACGGGUGAGUAAUGUCUGGGAAACUGCCCGAUGGAGGGGGAUAACUACUGGAAACGGUAGCUAAUACCGCAUACCAUCGGAUGUGCCCAUAUGGGAUUAGCUAGUAGGUGGGGUAACGGCUCACCUAGGCGACGAUCCCUAGCUGGUGUGAGAGGAUGUCCCGCCAUACGGGAACGGAGACACGGUCCAGACUCCGCGGGAAGGAAGCAGGGGGUAAUUUUGCACAAUGGGCGCAAGCCUGAUGCAGCCAUGCCGCGUGGAUGAAGAAGGCCUUCGGGUGGUAAAGUACUGUCAUCGAGGAGGCGUUACUCUCAGAUGAAGCACCGGCUAACUCCGUGCCAGCAGCCUCGGUAAUAC